rnacentral:rRNA from 1 species
CAGACUCCUACGGAGGCAGCAGUGGGGAAUCUUGCGCAAUGGGCGAAAGCCUGACGCAGCAACGCCGCGUGAGGGAUGACGGCCUUCGGGUUGUAAACCUCUUUCAAGCAGGGACGAUUGUGACGGUACCUGCAGAAGAAGCUCCGGCCAACUACGUGCCAGCAGCCGCGGUAAUAC